ACUAAGUUGUGGUUAUGGAGGCUAAUAAACUGAUAUAGUAUGUAUUUUAAUCAGCUUCUUCUUUGGCAUGUUUCAUGAGGUUGGAGUUGAAUAAUAACAACACGA
rnacentral:snoRNA from 1 species